ACCACUGUCCAAAACCUUUGUAGGAACUCUUUUCAUACCUUUUGGAGUUAGUUAGACCAAAAAAAAUGAAAAAUGAAAUAAAAAUAUUUGGGGUGUUCGGGCUUCCUGAAGGUCAUCCCCGGGUAUUAGGUUUUGGGGCUAGGGUAAGGUUUAAGGUUUUUGGCGUAAGGGUUAAAAUCCCUGUCCAAAACCUUUGUAGGAACUCUUUUCCAACCUUUUGGAGUUAGUUAGACCAAAAAAAAAAUGAAAAAUUAAAAAAAAAUAUUUGGGGUGUUCGGGCUUCCUGAAGGUAAUACCCGGGUAUUAGGUUAUGGGGCUUAGGUAAAGUUUAAGGUUUUUGGCGUUAGGGUUAAAAUCACUGUCCAAAACCUUUGUAGGAACUCUUUUCCAACCUUUUGGAGUCAAUUAGACCAAAAAAAAAAAGAAAAAUGAAAAAAAAAUAUUUGGGGUGUUCAGGCUUCCUGAAGGUAAUACCCGGGUAUUAGGUUAUGGGGCUAUGGUAAGGUUUAAGGUUUUUGGCGAUAGGGUUAAACUAACUUUCCAAAACCUUUUUAGGAACAUGUUUCAGACCUUUUGGAGUUAGUUAGACCAAAAAAAAAUGAAAAAUGAAAAAAAAAUAUUUGGGGUGUUCGGGCUUCCUGAAGGUAAUACCCGGGUAUUAGGUUAUGGGGCUAUGGUAAGGUUUAAGGUUUUUGGCAUUAGGGUUAAAAUCACUGUCCAAAACCUUUGUAGGAACUCUUUUCCAACCUUUUGGAGUUAGUUAGACCAAAAAAAAAAGAAAAAUGAAAAAAAAAUAUUUGGGGUUUUCGGGCUUCCUGAAGGUAAUACCCGGGUAUUAGGUUUUUGGGCUAGGGUAAGGUUUGAGGUUUAGGCGUAAGGGUUAAAAUCACUGUCCAAAACCUUUUUUAGGAACAUGUUUCAGACCUUUUGCAGUUGGUUAAACCAAAAAAAAAAAGUAAAAUGAAAAAAAAAUAUUUGGGGUGUUCGGGCUUCCUGAAGGUAAUACCCGGGUAUUAGGUUAUGGGGCUAUGGUAAGGUUAAAGGUUUUUGGCUUUAGGGUUAAAAUCACUGUCCAAAACCUUUGUAGAAACUCGUUUCCAACCUUUUGGCGUUAGUUAGACCAAAAAAAAAUGAAAAAUGAAAAAAAAAAUAUUUGGGUUGUUCGGGCUUCCUGAAGGUAAUACCCAGGUAUUAGGUUAUGGGGCUUUGGAAAGUUUUAGGUUUUUUGCAUUAGGGUUAAAAUCACUAUCCGAAACCAUUGUAGGAACUCUUUUCCAACAGUUCGGAGUUAGUUAGACCAAAAAAAAAUGAAAAAUGAAAUAAAAAAUAUUUGGGGUGUUCGGGCUUCCUGAAGGUAAUACCCGGGUAUUAGGUUAUGGGGCUAGGGUAAGGUUUGAGGUUUUUGGCAUUAGGGUUAAAAUCACUGUCCAAAACCUUUGUAGGAACUCUUUUCCAACCUUUUGGAGUCAGUUAGACCAAAAAAAAAUGAAAAAUGAAAAAAAAAUAUUUGGGGUUUUCGGGCUUCCUGAAGGUAAUACCCGGGUAUCAGGUUAUGGGGCUAUGGUAAGGUUUAAGGUUUUUGGCGUUAGGGUUAAAAUCACUGUCCAAAACCUUUGUAGGAACUCUUUUCCAACCUUUUGGAGUCAGUUAGACCAAAAAAAAUGAAAAAUGAAAUAAAAAAUAUUUGGGGUGUUCAGGCUUCCUGAAGGUAAUACCCGGGUAUUAGGUUAUGGGGCUAGGGUAAGGUUUUAGGUUUUUGGCAUUAGGGUUAAAAUCACUGUCCAAAACCUUUGUAGGAACUCUUUUCCAAACUUUUGGAGUCAGUUAGACCAAAAAAAAUGAAAAAUGAAAUAAAAAAUAUUUGGGGUGUUCGGGCUUCCUGAAGGUAAUACCCGGGUAUCAGGUUAUGGGGCUAUGGUAAGGUUUAAGGUUUUUGGCGUUAGGGUUAAAAUAACUGUCCAAAACCUUUUUAUGAACAUGUUUCAGACCUUUUGGAGUUGGUUACACCAAAAAAAAAUCUAAAAUGAAAAAAAAAUAUUUGGGGUCUUCAGGUAUUAGGUUAUGGGGCUAUGGUAAGGGUUCAGUUUUUUGGCAUUAGGGUUAAAAUUAUUGUCCAAAACCUUUGUAGGAACUCUUUUCCAACCUUUUGGAGUUAGUUAGACCAAAAAAAAAAAGAAAAAUGAAAAAAAAAUAUUUGGGGUUUUCGGGCUUCCUGAAGGCAAUACCCGGGAAUCAGUUUCUGGGGCUUUGGAAAGGUUUAAGGUUUUUGGCGUUAGGGAUAAAAUCACUGUCCAAAACCUUUGUAGGAACUCUUUUCCAAGCUUUUGGAGUUAGUUAGACCAAAAAAAAAAAAGAAAAAUGAAAAAAAAUAUAUUUGGGGUGUUCGGGCUUCCUGAAGGUAAUACCCAGGUAUUAGGUUAUGGGGCUAGGGUAAGGUUUUAGGUUUUUGGCGUUAGGGUUAAAAUCAAUGUCCAAAACCUUUGGAGGAACUCUUUUCCAAGCUUUUGGAGUUAGUUAGACCAAAAAAACAUGAAAAAUAAAAAAAAAUAUUUGUGGUUUUUGGGCUUCCUGAAGGUAAUACCCGGGUAUUAGGUUAUGGGGCUUUUGAAAGUUUUAGGGUUUUUGGCAUUAGGGUUAAAAUCACUGUCCAAAACCUUUGUAAGAACUCUUUUCCAAGCUUUUGGAGUUAGUUAGACCAAAAAAAAAUGAAAAAAAAAAUAUAUAUUUGGGGUGUUCGGGCUUCCUGAAGGUAAUACCCGGGUAUUAGGUUAUGGGGCUAUGGUAAGGUUUAAGGUUUUUGGCGUUAGGGUUAAAAUCACUGUCCAAAACCUUUGUAGGAACUCUUUUCCAAGCUUUUGGAGUUGUUACACUAAAAAAAAUGUAAAAUGAAAAAAAAAUAUUUGGGGUGUUCGGGCUUCCUGAAGGUAAUACCCGGGUAUUAGGUUAUGGGGCUAUGGUAAGGUUUGAGGUUUUUGGCGUUAGGGUUAAAAUCACUGUCCAAAACCUUUUUUAGGAACAUGUUUCAGACCUUUUGCAGUUGGUUAAACCAAAAAAAAAAAGUAAAAUGAAAAAAAAAUAUUUGGGGUGUUCGGGCUUCCUGAAGGUAAUACCCGGGUAUUAGGUUAUGGGGCUUAGGAAAGGUUUAAGGUUUUUGGCUUUAGGGUUAAAAUCACUGUCCAAAACCUUUGUAGGAACUCUUUUCCAAGCUUUUGGAGUUAGUUAGACCAAAAAAAAAUGAAAAAUGAAAAAAAAAAUAUUUGGGGUGUUCGGGCUUCCUGAAGGUAAUACCCGGGUAUUAGGUUAUGGGGCUUUGGAAAGUUUUAGGUUUUUUGCAUUAGGGUUAAAAUCACUGUCCAAAACCUUUGUAGGAACUCUUUUCCAACAGUUCGGAGUUAGUUAGACCAAAAAAAAAUGAAAAAUGAAAUAAAAAAUAUUUGGGGUGUUCAGGCUUCCUGAAGGUAAUACCCGGGUAUUAGGUUAUGGGGCUAGGGUAAGGUUUGAGGUUUUUGGCAUUAGGGUUAAAAUCACUGUCCAAAACCUUUGUAGGAACUCUUUUCCAACCUUUUGGAGUUAGACCAAAAAAGAAUGAAAAAUGAAAAGAAAAUAUUUGGGGUGUUCGGGCUUCCUGAAGGUAAUACCCGGGUAUUAGGUUAUGGGGCUAUGGUAAGGUUUAAGGUUUUUGGCGUUAGGGUUAAAAUCACUGUCCAAAACCUUUGUAGGAACUCUUUUCCAACCUUUUGGAGUCAGUUAGACCAAAAAAAAGAAAAAUGAAAUAAAAAAUAUUUGGGGUGUUCAGGCUUCCUGAAGGUAAUACCCGGUAUUAGGUUUUGGGGCUAGGGUAAGGUUUGAGGUUUUUGGCAUUAGGGUUAAAAUCACUGUCCAAAACAUUUUUAGGAACAUGUUUCAGACCUUUUGGAGUUUGUACACCAAAAUAAAAAUGUAAAAUGAAAAAAAAAUAUUUGGGGUGUUCGGGCUUCCUGAAGGUAAUACCCGGGUAUUAGGUUAUGGGGCUAAGGUAAGGUUUAAGGUUUUUGGUGUUAGGGUUAAAAUCACUGUCCAAAACCUUUGUAGGAACUCUUUUCCAACCUUUUGGAGUCAGUUAGACCAAAAAAAAUGUAAAAUGAAAAAAAAAUAUUUGGGGUGUUCGGGCUUCCUGAAGGUAAUACCCCGGUAUUAGGUUAUGGGGCUAUGGUAAGGGUUAAGGUUUUUGGAUUAGGGUUAAAAUCACUGUCCAAAACCUUUUUAGGAACAUGUUUCAGACCUUUUGCAGUUGGUUAAACCAAAAAAAAAUGUAAAAUGAAAAAAAUAUAUUUGGGGUGUUCGGGCUUCCUGAAGGACCUAUUAGGUUAUGGGACUAUGGUAAGGUUUAAGGUUUUUGGCGUUAGGGUUAAAACCACUGUCCAAAACCUUUGUAGGAACUCUUUUCAUACCUUUUGGAGUUAGUUAGACCAAAAAAAAUGAAAAAUGAAAUAAAAAUAUUUGGGGUGUUCGGGCUUCCUGAAGGUAAUACCCGGGUAUUAGGUUAUGGGGCUAUGGUAAGGGUUCAGUUUUUUGGCAUUAGGGUUAAAAUUAUUGUCCAAAACCUUUGUAGGAACUCUUUUCCAACCUUUUGGAGUUAGUUAGACCAAAAAAAAAUGAAAAAUGAAAAAAAAAAUAUUUGGGGUUUUCGGGCUUCCUGAAGGUAAUACCCGGGUAUUAGGUUAUGGGGCUUUGGAAAGGUUUAAGGUUUUUGGCGUUAGGGUUAAAAUCACUGUCCAAAACCUUUGUAGGAACUCUUUUCCAAGCUUUUGGAGUUAGUUAGACCAAAAAAAAAUGAAAAAUGAAAAAAAAAUAUUUGGGGUGUUCGGGCUUCCUGAAGGUAAUCCCCGGGUAUUAGGUUAUGGGGCUAGGGUAAGGUUUUAGGUUUUUGGCGUUAGGGUUAAAAUCAAUGUCCAAAACCUUUGGAGGAACUCUUUUCCAAGCUUUUGGAGUUAGUUAGACCAAAAAAACAUGAAAAAUAAAAAAAAAAUAUUUGUGGUUUUUGGGCUUCCUGAAGGUAAUACCCGGGUAUUAGGUUAUGGGGCUUUUGAAAGUUUUAGGGUUUUUGGCAUUAGGGUUAAAAUCACUGUCCAAAACCUUUGUAGGAACUCUUUUCCAACAUUUCGGAGUUCGUUAGACCAAAAAAAAGAUGAAAAAAUAUAUAUAUAUAUUUGGGGUGUUCGGGCUUUCUUAAGGUAAUACCCGGGUAUUGAAUUAUGGGGCUAUGGUAAGGUUUAAGGUUUUUGGUGUUAAGGUUAAAAUCACUGUCCAAAACCUUUGUAGGAACUCUUUUCCAAGCUUUUGGAGCUGGUUACACUAAAAAAAAUGUAAAAUGAAAAAAAAUAUUUGGGGUGUUCGGGCUUCCUGAAGGUAAUACCCGGGUAUUAGGUUAUGGGGCUAUGGUAAGGUUUGAGGUUUAGGCGUUAGGGUUAAAAUCACUGUCCAAAACCUUUUUUAGGAACAUGUUUCAGACCUUUUGCAGUUGGUUAAACCAAAAAAAAAAAGUAAAAUGAAAAAAAAAUAUUUGGGGUGUUCGGGCUUCCUGAAGGUAAUACCCGGUAUUAGGUUAUGGGGCUUAGGAAAGGUUUAAGGUUUUUGGCUUUAGGGUUAAAAUCACUGUCCAAAACCUUUGUAGGAACUCUUUUCCAAGCGUUUGGAGUUAGUUAGACCAAAAAAAAAUGAAAAAUGAAAAAAAAAAUAUUUGGGUUGUUCGGGCUUCCUGAAGGUAAUACCCAGGUAUUAGGUUAUGGGGCUUUGGAAAGUUUUAGGUUUUUUGCAUUAGGGUUAAAAUCACUAUCCGAAACCUUUGUAGGAACUCUUUUCCAACAGUUCGGAGUUAGUUAGACCAAAAAAAAAUGAAAAAUGAAAUAAAAAAUAUUUGGGGUGUUCAGGCUUCCUGAAGGUAAUACCCGGGUAUUAGGUUAUGGGGCUAGGGUAAGGUUUGAGGUUUUUGGCAUUAGGGUUAAAAUCACUGUCCAAAACCUUUGUAGGAACUCUUUUCCAACCUUUUGGAGUUAGACCAAAAAAGAAUGAAAAAUGAAAAGAAAAUAUUUGGGGUUUUCGGGCUUCCUGAAGGUAAUACCCGGGUAUCAGGUUAUGGGGCUAUGGUAAGGUUUAAGGUUUUUGGCGUUAGGGUUAAAAUCACUGUCCAAAACCUUUGUAGGAACUCUUUUCCAAGCUUUUGGAGCUGGUUACACUAAAAAAAAUGUAAAAUGAAAAAAAAAUAUUUGGGGUGUUCGGGCUUCCUGAAGGUAAUACCCGGGUAUUAGGUUAUGGGGCUAUGGUAAGGUUUGAGGUUUAGGCGUUAGGGUUAAAAUCACUGUCCAAAACCUUUUUUAGGAACAUGUUUCAGACCUUUUGCAGUUGGUUAAACCAAAAAAAAAAGUAAAAUGAAAAAAAAAUAUUUGGGGUCUUCGGGCUUCCUGAAGGUAAUACCCGGUAUUCGGUUAUGGGGCUUAGGAAAGGUUUAAGGUUUUUGGCAUGAGGGUUAAAAUCACUGUCCAAAACCUUUGUAGGAACUCUUUUCCAAGCGUUUGGAGUUAGUUAGACCAAAAAAAAAUGAAAAAUGAAAAAAAAAAUAUUUGGGUUGUUCGGGCUUCCUGAAGGUAAUACCCAGGUAUUAGGUUAUGGGGCUUUGGAAAGUUUUAGGUUUUUUGCAUUAGGGUUAAAAUCACUAUCCGAAACCUUUGUAGGAACUCUGUUCCAACAGUUCGGAGUUAGUUAGACCAAAAAAAAAUGAAAAAUGAAAUGAAAAAUAUUUGGGGUGUUCAGGCUUCCUGAAGGUAAUACCCGGGUAUUAGGUUAUGGGGCUAGGGUAAGGUUUAAGGUUUUUGGCAUUAGGGUUAAAAUCACUGUCCAAAACCUUUGUAGGAACUCUUUUCCAACCUUUUGGAGUUAGACCAAAAAAGAAUGAAAAAUGAAAAGAAAAUAUUUGGGGUUUUCGGGCUUCCUGAAGGUAAUACCCGGGUAUUAGGUUAUGGGGCUAUGGUAAGGUUUAAGGUUUUUGGCGUUAGGGUUAAAAUCACUGUCCAAAACCUUUGUAGGAACUCUUUUCCAACCUUUUGGAGUCAGUAAGACAAAAAAAAUGAAAAAUGAAAUAAAAAAUAUUUGGGGUGUUCAGGCUUCCUGAAGGUAAUACCCGGUAUUAGGUUAUGGGGCUAUGGUAAGGUUUAAGGUUUUUGGCGAUAGGGUUAAACUAACUGUCCAAAACCUUUUUAUGAACAUGUUUCAGACCUUUUGGAGUUGGUUACACCAAAAAAAAAUGUAAAAUGAAAAAAAAAUAUUUGGGGUCUUCAGGUAUUAGGUUAUGGGGCUAUGGUAAGGGUUCAGUUUUUUGGCAUUAGGGUUAAAAUUAUUGUCCAAAACCUUUGUAGGAACUCUUUUCCAACCUUUUGGAGUUAGUUAGACCAAAAAAAAAAAGAAAAAUGAAAAAAAAAUAUUUGGGGUUUUCGGGCUUCCUGAAGGCAAUACCCGGGAAUCAGUUUCUGGGGCUUUGGAAAGGUUUAAGGUUUUUGGCGUUAGGGAUAAAAUCACUGUCCAAAACCUUUGUAGGAACUCUUUUCCAAGCUUUUGGAGUUAGUUAGACCAAAAAAAAAAAAGAAAAAUGAAAAAAAAUAUAUUUGGGGUGUUCGGGCUUCCUGAAGGUAAUACCCAGGUAUUAGGUUAUGGGGCUAGGGUAAGGUUUUAGGUUUUUGGCGUUAGGGUUAAAAUCAAUGUCCAAAACCUUUGGAGGAACUCUUUUCCAAGCUUUUGGAGUUAGUUAGACCAAAAAAACAUGAAAAAUAAAAAAAAAAUAUUUGUGGUUUUUGGGCUUCCUGAAGGUAAUACCCGGGUAUUAGGUUAUGGGGCUUUUGAAAGUUUUAGGGUUUUUGGCAUUAGGGUUAAAAUCACUGUCCAAAACCUUUGUAGGAACUCUUUUCCAACAUUUCGGAGUUCGUUAGACCAAAAAAAAGAUGAAAAAAUAUAUAUAUAUAUUUGGGGUGUUCGGGCUUUCUUAAGGUAAUACCCGGGUAUUGAAUUAUGGGGCUAUGGUAAGGUUUAAGGUUUUUGGUGUUAAGGUUAAAAUCACUGUCCAAAACCUUUGUAGGAACUCUUUUCCAAGCUUUUGGAGCUGGUUACACUAAAAAAAAUGUAAAAUGAAAAAAAAAUAUUUGGGGUGUUCGGGCUUCCUGAAGGUAAUACCCGGGUAUUAGGUUAUGGGGCUAUGGUAAGUUUUAAGGUUUUUGGUGUUAGGGUUAAAAUCACUGUCCAAAACCUUUGUAGGAACUCUUUUCCAACCUUUUGGAGUUAGUUAGACCAAAAAAAAAAGAAAAAAGGAAUAAAAAAUAUUUGGGGUUUUCGGGCUUCCUGAAGGUAAUACCCGGGUAUUAGGUUUUGGGGCUAGGGUAAGGUUUGAGGUUUUUGGCAUUAGGGUUAAAAUCACUGUCCAAAACAUUUUUAGGAACAUGUUUCAGACCUUUUGGAGUUUGUACACCAAAAUAAAAAUGUAAAAUGAAAAAAAAAUAUUUGGGGUGUUCGGGCUUCCUGAAGGUAAUACCCGGGUAUUAGGUUUUGGGGCUAAGGUAAGGUUUAAGGUUUUUGGUGUGAGGGUUAAAAUAACUGUCCAAGGCCUUUGUAUGAACUCUUUUCCAACCUUUUGGAGUCAGUUACACCAAAAAAAAAAUGUAAAAUGAAAAAAAAAUAUUUGGGGUGUUCGGGCUUCCUGAAGGUAAUACCCCGGUAUUAGGUUAUGGGGCUAUGGUAAGGGUUAAGGUUUUUGGAUUAGGGGUUAAAAUCACUGUCCAAAACCUUUUUAGGAACAUGUUUCAGACCUUUUGCAGUUGGUUAAACCAAAAAAAAAUGUAAAAUGAAAAAAAUAUAUUUGGGGUGUUCGGGCUUCCUGAAGGACCUAUUAGGUUAUGGGACUAUGGUAAGGUUUAAGGUUUUUGGCGUUAGGGUUAAAACCACUGUCCAAAACCUUUGUAGGAACUCUUUUCAUACCUUUUGGAGUUAGUUAGACCAAAAAAAAUGAAAAAAGGAAAUAAAUAUAUUUGGGGUGUUCGGGCUUCCUGAAGGUAAUACCCGGGUAUUAGGUUAUGGGGCUAUGGUAAGGGUUCAGUUUUUUGGCAUUAGGGUUAAAAUUAUUGUCCAAAACCUUUGUAGGAACUCUUUUCCAACCUUUUGGAGUUAGUUAGACCAAAAAAAAAAAGAAAAAUGAAAAAAAAAUAUUUGGGGUUUUUGGGCUUCCUGAAGGCAAUACCCGGGAAUCAGUUUCUGGGGCUUUGGAAAGGUUUAAGGUUUUUGGCGUUAGGGUUAAAAUCACUGUCCAAAACCUUUGUAGGAACUCUUUUCCAAGCUUUUGGAGUUAGUUAGACCAAAAAAAAUGAAAAAUGAAAAAAAAAAUAUUUGGGGUGUUCAUGCUUCCUGAAGGUAAUACCCAGGUAUUAGGUUAUGGGGCUAGGGUAAGGUUUUAGGUUUUUGGCGUUAGGGUUAAAAUCAAUGUCCAAAACCUUUGGAGGAACUCUUUUCCAAGCUUCUGCAGUUAGUUAGACCAAAAAAACAUGAAAAAUAAAAAAAUAUAUAUUUGGGGUGUUCAGGCAUCCUGAAGGUAAUACCCGGGUAUUAGGUUUUGGGGCUAAGGUAAGGUUUAAGGUUUUUGGCGUGAGGGUUAAAAUCACUGUCAAAAACCUUUGUAGGAACUCUUUUCCAACCUUUUGGAGUCAGUAUGACCAAAAAAAAAAAAAAAAAAAAAAAAAAAAUGUAUUUGGGGUGUUCGGGCUUCCUGAAGGUAAUACCCGGGUAUUAGGUUAUGGGGCUUAGGAAAGGUUUAAGGUUUUUGGCGUUAGGGUUAAAAUCACUGUCCAAAACCUUUGUAGGAACUCUUUUCCAACCUUUUGGAGUUAGGUAGACCAAAAAAAAAAGAAAAAAGAAAAAAAAAUAUUUGGGGUGUUCGGGCUUCCUGAAGGUAAUACCCGGGUAUUAGGUUUUUGGGCUAGGGUAAGGUUUGAGGUUUAGGCGUUAGGGUUAAAAUCACUGUCCAAAACCUUUUUAGGAACAUGUUUCAGACCUUUUGCAGUUGGUUAAACCAAAAAAAAAAAGUAAAAUGAAAAAAAAAUAUUUGGGGUGUUCGGGCUUCCUGAAGGUAAUACCCGGUAUUAGGUUAUGGGGCUUAGGAAAGGUUUAAGGUUUUUGGCUUUAGGGUUAAAAUCACUGUCCAAAACCUUUGUAGGAACUCUUUUCCAAGCGUUUGGAGUUAGUUAGACCAAAAAAAAAUGAAAAAUGAAAAAAAAAAUAUUUGGGUUGUUCGGGCUUCUUGAAGGUAAUACCCAGGUAUUAGGUUAUGGGGCUUUGGAAAGUUUUAGGUUUUUUGCAUUAGGGUUAAAAUCACUAUCCGAAACCUUUGUAGGAACUCUUUUCCAACAGUUCGGAGUUAGUUAGACCAAAAAAAAAUGAAAAAUUAAAUAAAAAAUAUUUGGGGUGUUCAGGCUUCCUGAAGGUAAUACCCGGGUAUUAGGUUAUGGGGCUAGGGUAAGGUUUGAGGUUUUUGGCAUUAGGGUUAAAAUCACUGUCCAAAACCUUUGUAGGAACUCUUUUCCAACCUUUUGGAGUUAGACCAAAAAAGAAUGAAAAAUGAAAAGAAAAUAUUUGGGUUUUCGGGCUUCCUGAAGGUAAUACCCGGGUAUCAGGUUAUGGGGCUAUGGUAAGGUUUAAGGUUUUUGGCGUUAGGGUUAAAAUCACUGUCCAAAACCUUUGUAGGAACUCUUUUCCAACCUUUUGGAGUCAGUUAGACAAAAAAAAUGAAAAAUGAAAUAAAAAAUAUUUGGGGUGUUCAGGCUUCCUGAAGGUAAUACCCAGGUAUUAGGUUAUGGGGCUAGGGUAAGGUUUUAGGUUUUUGGCAUUAGGGUUAAAAUCACUGUCCAAAACCUUUGUAGAACCCUUUUCCAACCUUUUGGAGUCAGUUAGACAAAAAAAAUGAAAAAUGAAAUAAAAAAUAUUUGGGGUGUUCAGGCUUCCUGAAGGUAAUACCCGGUAUUAGGUUAUGGGGCUAUGGUAAGGUUUAAGGUUUUUGGCGAUAGGGUUAAACUAACUGUCCAAAACCUUUGUAGGAACUCUUUUCCAACCUUAUGGAGUUCGUUAGACCAAAAAAACAAGAAAAAUGAAAAAAAAAUAUUUGGGGUCUUCAGGUAUUAGGUUAUGGGGCUAUGGUAAGGGUUCAGUUUUUUGGCAUUAGGGUUAAAAUUAUUGUCCAAAACCUUUGUAGGAACUCUUUUCCAACCUUUUGGAGUUAGUUAGACCAAAAAAACAUGAAAAAUAAAAAAAAAAAUAUUUGUGGUUUUUGGGCUUCCUGAAGGUAAUACCCGGGUAUUAGGUUAUGGGGCUUUUGAAAGUUUUAGGGUUUUUGGCAUUAGGGUUAAAAUCACUGUCCAAAACCUUUGUAGGAACUCUUUUCAUACCUUUUGGAGUUAGUUAGACCAAAAAAAAUGAAAAAAGGAAAUAAAUAUAUUUGGGGUGUUCGGGCUUCCUGAAGGUAAUACCCGGGUAUUAGGUUAUGGGGCUAUGGUAAGGGUUCAGUUUUUUGGCAUUAGGGUUAAAAUUAUUGUCCAAAACCUUUGUAGGAACUCUUUUCCAACCUUUUGGAGUUAGUUAGACCAAAAAAAAAAGAAAAAUGAAAAAAAAAAUAUUUGGGGUUUUCGGGCUUCCUGAAGGCAAUAACCGGGAAUCAGUUUCUGGGGCUUUGGAAAGGUUUAAGGUUUUUGGCAUUAGGGAUAAAAUCACUGUCCAAAACCUUUGUAGGAACUCUUUACCAAGCUUUUGGAGUUAGUUACACCAAAAAAAAAUGAAAAAUGAAAAAAAAAAUAUUUGGGGUGUUCGGGCUUCCAUAAGGUAAUACCCAGGUAUUAGGUUAUGGGGCUAGGGUAAGGUUUUAGGUUUUUGGCGUUAGGGUUAAAAUCAAUGUCCAAAACCUUUGGAGGAACUCUUUUCCAAGCUUUUGGAGUUAGUUAGACCAAAAAAACAUGAAAAAUAAAAAUAUAUAUAUUUGGGGUGUUCGGGCAUCCUGAAGGUAAUACCCGGGUAUUAGGUUUUGGGGCUAAGGUAAGGUUUAAGGUUUUUGGCGUGAGGGUUAAAAUCGCUGUCUAAAACCUUUGUAGGAACUCUUUUCCAACCUUAUGGAGUCAGUAUGACCAAAAAAAAAAAAAAAAAAAAAAAAAAAUGUAUUUGGGUUGUUCGGGCUUCCUGAAGGUAAUACCCGGAUAUUAGGUUAUGGGGCUUAGGAAAGGUUUAAGGUUUUUGGCGUUAGGGUUAAAAUCACUGUCCAAAACCUUUGUAGGAACUCUUUUCCAACCUUUUUGAGUCAGUUAGACCAAAAUAAAAGAAAAAAGAAAAAAAUAUAUUUGCGGUUUUCAGGCUUCCUGGAGGUAAUACCCGGGUAUUAGGUUAUGGGGCUUAGGAAAGGUUUAAGGUUUUUGGUGAUAGGGUUAAAAUAACUGUCCAAAACCUUUUUAGGAACAUGUUUCAGACCUUUUGGAGUUGGUUAAACCAAAAAAAAAUGUAAAAUGAAAAAAAUAUAUUUGGGGUGUUCAGGCUUCCUGAAGGUAAUACCCGGGUAUGAGGUUAUGGGGCUAUGGUAAGGUUUAAGGUUUUUGACGUUAGGGUGAAAAUAACUGUCCAAAACCUUUGUAGGAACUCUUUUCCAACCUUAUGGAGUUCGUUAGACCAAAAAAAAAAAAAAAAGGAAAAAAAAUAUUUGGGGUGUUCGGGCUUACUGAAGGUAAUACCUGGGUAUUAGGUCUUGGGGCUAGGGUAAGGUUUGAGGUUUUUGGCAUU